CGGGCCGAGCGGUCUGCCGAUGGGUAUGCACUGUUCGGCGCGUCCUUCUUUCCGGAGACCGCGCCUACUCUUAGCUGAGCGGGCGCGGGAGACGGAUCGUUUACUUUGAAAAAAUCAGAGUGUUUCAAGCAGGCAGCUCGCUCUUGCAUGGAUUAGCAUGGGAUAAUGAAAUAGGACUCUGGUGCUAUUUUGUUGGUUUCGAACACCGGAGUAAUGAUUAACAGGGACAGUCAGGGGCACUCGUAUUCCGUCGAGAGAGGUGAAAUU
rnacentral:rRNA from 1 species